rnacentral:misc_RNA from 1 species
AAAAGAGCGUAAACUUGCAGCAAAAGGUGCCGCCGGUCGGAGAGUUAAGCUCGAUCUCUUCGCGGAACCCCCUGGUGGCUCCUCUGUCCAAGAUGAAGUUGGAGGGGAAGAAGAAUCCAAGAUUCAUGCCGAGCUACCUAAUUCACCAUCGUCUUCAGGUCAAGAACCGGAGAAUCCUCUUAUGCUGCUUGGGCAAUAUAGUGACGAUGAAGUGGAUGAGGAGUCAGUUGAAGUACUUAAACGUGCUGCUUCAGAGGAUUCUUCUCUUGAUCAUGAAGACAAGGGAAAGCACUCUGGCGACGACGAGACUAAUGUUAAUGGGGAAAUUGGUUCUACUGUUAUGGAAGUUGAAGAGAAAGCUAUUGACAAUGGCUCUGAUCUACUAAGUCCCUCAGAUAGACCUGCAGAAGAUAGUGCUAGAGAAAACAAUGCUUCUGUCUCAGUUGAUUUACAUGCACAGUUGAGCGUGUUGGAUCAGAUUACUGCCCCUACAACUUCUGAUGCACAGGCUCUAGGGGAUGCAAGUGCGGGGUGGAAGAUGGUGUUGCACGAAGAGAGUAACCAGUACUAUUAUUGGAACACAGUAACAGGCGAGACUUCAUGGGAAGUGCCUCAGAUAUUGGGUCAUGCAGUUGAACAGAGGUUAGAAGAGAAAGUUACUGCUGAAACUGAAUGCAUGGGCCGCACCACCUUGGAGAACUUAGAACCCUCUGCAAAAAUGGAUAUGGACACUAGACAGACUAGUGUCAGCUACAGCGACAUCAAUGAAUACAGGAAGCCAACAGAUGACGACCUACAUGAUAAAAAAAGAGACAAUG